UACGUAGGGUGCGAGCGUUGCCCCGGAUUUAUUGGGCGUAAAGGGCGCGCAGCGGCUACGCACGUCCGUUGUGAAAUCGCUCGGCUCAACUGGGCGGGGUCAGCGGAUACGGCGUAGCUGGAGCAAGCUAGGGGGCAAUGGAAUUCCCGGUGUAGUGGUGGAAUGCGUAGAUAUCGGGAGGAACACCAGUGGCGAAGGCGGUUGCCUGGAGCUUUGCUGACGCUGAGGCGCGAAAG
rnacentral:rRNA from 1 species